rnacentral:rRNA from 1 species
AGUGGGGAAUAUUGGACAAUGGGCGAAAGCCUGAUCCAGCCAUGCCGCGUGAGUGAUGAAGGCCUUAGGGUUGUAAAGCUCUUUUGGCGGGGACGAUAAUGACGGUACCCGCAGAAUAAGUCCCGGCUAACUUCGUGCCAGCAGCCGCGGUAAUACGAAGGGGACUAGCGUUGUUCGGAAUCACUGGGCGUAAAGCGCACGUAGGCGGAUAUGUCAGUCAGGGGUGAAAUCCCGGGGCUUAACCUCGGAACUGCCCUUGAUACAGCAUGUCUUGAGUCCGAUAGAGGUGGGUGGAAUUCCUAGUGUAGAGGUGAAAUUCGUAGAUAUUAGGAAGAACACCGGUGGCGAAGGCGGCCCACUGGAUCGGUACUGACGCUGAGGUGCGAAAGCGUGGGGAGCAAA